GAUGAAAAACUUCCUCUAAUGGAAUCCAGCUUGAAAGCAGCUCAAGAGCAGCUAAGUGAGCAAAUAGCAGAAACAGUUCGCCAAGAACAGAACAGUAGAAAAUCACAGACACAGCUGAAGACCCUGAGAGAACGUAUUAUAGCUUCUGAAGAAGAAAUUAGUGAUUACAAGUUGAGUUUUAUGAGAAAAGAUUACCAAAUCUGCAAAAGGUGCGGAGCCAGUCUAAAGACAGUAUACAUAGAACACCAAGAAUCUUGAAUCUUCAGAAAGGAAUACUCAGGAUUUAAAAGAGGACAAUAGUUUACUGGAUAGUAAUCACAAAGGACAUGUUGACAAGAGCCUCUGUAUGUGGUGAAAGCUAUCCAAGGCAGAGAGACCGAGAGAGGCGGUGUUACAACAAGAUUACUUCAGAACACCUGUUUGUUCAGUCUGAAGAUCUUGAUGCGGCUUACAAACAUAGCCCAGAUGUGAACGUGUGCUGUAUGACUGUCUAUCCCUACACCAGCAAGUUUACUUAAACAAGUAGUUUCCAUCUCCUUCUCGACUUGGUAUCUUUUUCUCUAGCAAACUUGUAUGAUGGUUUGAAAACCCAGCCAAUGCCUUGUCUGCUCUGUGUCAGGGACAAAAUGCAGUUCUCUUGUUACUGGAGACUGAGAAGGCAGAUGUAAGAUAUAAAUCCACCUCCUGAAGCUCUGAAUGUUUUCAUUUAGACUGGAUGAAAAAAGCAAUGGAAAUAGCUUCCAUUCACAAGAAUAUCUUUGGUCUUCAGCAGGCCAUUUCUUCAUCAUCUUCAUUCUUCCAUUGCAGAUAGGAGAAGUCUUGUGAUCUUCCUUAUCCUCGCUCUCUGGGAACACUAGAGCAAGGCAAGAGUAGUUGUCUGAUCUCUAACAAACUGUUUCCUCUACAAGCCAAGAGAUUACUUUAACUUUUCUCUUUCUGAUUCACUUCUUUUUGCACUAGUACCAAGAACAGCACAAAACUGAUUUUAACUACUGUAAAGAAAUAUUUGAAUCACAUUACUCAUAUAAAUUAUUUUUUUCCUCUUGAUUUAUGUAAUAUGUGUGUCUGAAGUGGAUGAUUUGUCUCAUUGAGAUCACUAGAAGGAAAAAAAAGCCCAAACAAAGUUAAAAUUAAGCAUUAAUAAUUCAUACAUUUUUAGAGAUUUGUUUCGGUUAAAUAAAAUAGAAAUGUAACCACAUAAAAAUCCAUACGGUUUUAAGCUGAUUAGAUCAAUAAAGUAUGAUCUCAUGAAGGAUUUUAUUCUUCUCCUUUUCCAUGCUAUCUGACUUUGGAAAAGCCAUUUCUUUACCUGUUUUGUCUUGAAUACUGCAAACCUGUUAACUAGAUUUAUUGUAAAAUAAUUCAAAAUGUUAUAUUAGUUCAAACUUACUUUAUUAAGAUAUAACAUUAAAGGUAAUUGGAGAAAUGAUAAAAAAUAAAAAAUGAACCUAAACAUUCUCUCCCUGCGGCUUAAGCUGGAUGGGAUAUUGGAAUCAACCUUCAUAGUACAAAGUUUCCUUUUUUUUAAAAAAAAAACAAUAUAUGCUGAUUUAAUUAGAAAAUGUUUCUAGAACUUACAAAUGAAGAGAUGACUGUGGAAAAACUUAUGCCAUUAUGUCCUCCGAAGUCUAUAAAGACCUUGAAAUAAUAGUUCUGAGAAAUAUGAGCUACUUUAUCCCUUUCGGGGCCUGAUACCCCAAUACUUAAAGACCACAGUAUGUGUAUGCAAACACUAUUAACUUUCUGAGUUGUAACAUGUAACAUAAGAUUACGUCAAGAAGGUUUUGAUGGGGGAUGGAAGAAAAGGCAAGACAAGGGCAAUGAAUACAUCUGAAAACUAAAAAAGAACAGAAAAGAGAACCCCAGAAAGCACACGUGCUCAUACUCUGAACUUCACCACCUAUUGCCAGGGGCAUUUUAUUUUGUUGUCCCACUAGGAAGACUUUCUUCUGUAGGCAGAACUUGGGAGAACUUCAAUGUAAAGCUAACAAGGCACAUCUAACUAUGUCAUCUUGAUAAGACUCUUGUAUCGGUGCUUCUUAAAAAUCUAUACAUAGACUGGAAUUAAAGAUUAAAGUCUGUAUUCAUUACA